AUUGGAACUAAAUUAUUUUAUAUUGACAAACAUUAAACUGUGACUGUCACCAGGUAAUGUGGGCGUGUUUCCUGAAUAAGCAGCAGGUGUUAAACAGCUGACAGGUGAACAGGAUGCAUGCAGGUAAACUCGAGGGCCCUUCGAGCUGAUCGGUGGUGUCGUGAGGAAAGUUUCAGCUCAUUAUUCAUGUUACAGAAACACAGAGGUACGAGACCAGGCAGAAGACUUUCUGAUUAUUUGUUUUUAGUUAAAAUAAUUCCAUUGUUGUCUAGUGAUGGUGUGGUAAAGCUCUGUGAAUGUGUCCAAUUUUUCUGAUCACACAAAGCCUCGUUUAACUGCUUAUUUGGAAGAACUGACAUCUGCUGGUCAUUUAAUGUUCAGCAGCACUGCUGUGAGAAUACCUGCAGGAUACAUACCAGUGGAUAUAUUGAGUGUCUGUAAUCUCUCAGAGAGAAGCUGUGAAACUCUGUCUUCACUACUCAGCUCCCAGCCCUCUAGUUUGAGAGAGCUUGACCUGAGUAACAAUGACCUGAAGGACUCUGGAGUGAAAGUUUUGUCUUCUGGACUGAAAAAUCCAUAUUGUGAACUGGAAACACUCAGGCUGUCAGGCUGCCUGGUCACAGAGGAAGGUUGCAAGUCUCUGGUCUCAGCUUU